GCAGAGUAGCUACGUAUGGAAAGGAUAAGCUCUGAAAGCAUCUUAAGAUCGAAGCCUUCUCUUGGAUA
rnacentral:rRNA from 1 species